rnacentral:rRNA from 1 species
CUACGGCAUCCCUAGUAGCGGCGAGCGAGCGGGAAGAGCUCAAAUUUAUAAUCUGGCACCUUCGGUGUCCGAGUUGUAAUCUCUAGAAAUGUUUUCCGCGUUGGACCGCACACAAGUCUGUUGGAAUACAGCGGCAUAGUGGUGAGACCCCCGUAUAUGGUGCGGACGCCCAGCGCUUUGUGAUACAUUUUCGAAGAGUCGAGUUGUUUGGGAAUGCAGCUCAAAUUGGGUGGUAAAUUCCAUCUAAAGCUAAAUAUUGGCGAGAGACCGAUAGCGAACAAGUACCGUGAGGGAAAGAUGAAAAGCACUUUGGAAAGAGAGUUAACAGUACGUGAAAUUGUUGGAAGGGAAACGCUUGAAGUCAGACUUGCUUGCCGAGCAAUCGGUUUGCAGGCCAGCAUCAGUUUUCCGGGAUGGAUAAUGGUAGAGAGAAGGUAGCAGUUUCGGCUGUGUUAUAGCUCUCUGCUGGAUACAUCUUGGGGGACUGAGGAACGCAGUGUGCCUUUGGCGGGGGUUUCGACCUCUUCACACUUAGGAUGCUGGUGGAAUGGCUUUAAACGACCCGUCUUGAAACACAGACCCA